rnacentral:rRNA from 1 species
ACGGGGGAUGCGAGCGUUAUCCGGAUUUAUUGGGUUUAAAGGGCGCGUAGGCGGGACGUCAAGUCAGCGGUAAAAGACUGCAGCUAAACUGUAGCACGCCGUUGAAACUGGCGCCCUCGAGACGAGACGAGGGAGGCGGAACAAGUGAAGUAGCGGUGAAAUGCAUAGAUAUCACUUGGAACCCCGAUAGCGAAGGCAGCUUCCCAGGCUCGUUCUGACGCUGAUGCGCGAGAGCGUGGGUAGCGAACAG